ensembl:lncRNA
AAAAAACAACUUAAUUCCUGCUCUUCUUUAUGUUAUAGCACCUAUGAACUGUCCUUCCGUCACAAGCGUGUAUUUUUUCUUUCAAUUGAUGACAAAUCUCAGCUUGUCAUGUUACUGAGAAACCGCAAAGACACGUAAACUCCUAUGUCCUGAAGAUGUCUAAACUUUAAAGUUACAGCGAUGCCUUUGACUGUUGCAAAGCGCUGACACUGGAGACUCCUUCCAUGAAUGUUAAAUACACCUCUCCUUAGAGAAAACGUCGCCAUAUCGCUGUUACUAAAGAAACGACAAUGUAUUAGAGCGAGCGCAUUAAUAUAAACCUGUGACUUGCAGCUGCACUACUGUCAGAGCUGCUGUUAUAGAUAAUUAUUCAACACCUCUUCUGUUGUACUUUUCAGGAUUGUAUCUGUGUGUCUAGCUGGAAUCGAGGACUCAGGAUGUAUGCCAGUGUCGUACGUCUGCACAUUGUGACCUUCAUGCUAAGCGAGAAGAGCAGACGGGUGCAGUUUACCGCCCAGUCUCUCGGGAUAACUUUUAUGAGCUUCUGCACAGAAAGGGUGCACACAGCUUCUGCCCAAGAUUUGCUGGAGGAGUACAGGAGCUGAGCCUCAAGCCCAAAGCCACUGAGGACGAUGGCGACUUGGACAUUCAGUCUUCAAAAAUCUUCAGUUACUCUGAUUCUGCCAGCACAGAGUUCAUAUGGGAAUCACAUACUGUAUUUACAUCACUUCUCAUCUGAACUUAAUGCUGCCUACGAGUCAGUUCAGACUCUGUACUUUCUCUAGUCCUCCACUUUGGAUUAAAUGCCACAUAGUGACACUUAAUAAAACAAAAUUAUUAAGAA